rnacentral:lncRNA from 8 species
GAAUACUUUCCCAAUGCACAGUAUGUGCCAAGUUAAAAUAUUCCCAAGAGACAUAUUCUAAACUCUGCUUCUAGCUCCUUAGCAACUUUGCAGUGUUUUGUGUGUGUUAUUACUAUUAGCCCAGAACGUUUGUUGUGUUAUUAAAUACAGCCGGAAAUAACAUUUGGAUAUCAGAGCGGCGGUAACUCACCAGCAUUACGACCAAGAAUACGACUUUCCAGAAUUGGAUCCUUUGUUCGUACCCCCCAGGGCUCGUCGCCGACGGUAGAGAAGAGGUAUUCCGAGUGGACUUUUAGUCAGACUCAGGAGGCGGGCACACCAUGUACAAAGAAAAAUAAUGCAAUCUAACCAUCACCAGUAGUCAUGUUAAAGUUUUUUUUUAAAUGUUGGUGGAGUUCAUGUAUUUGCAUGUGGCUGUGCAUUAUAUGAUGCCUGAAUAGGAAGCAUAGUCUGAUCAUGACUACUGGUUUUCUUAAAUUCUUGAUCAAAAACUGCUUUGGGGUUCAUUCCAAAUAUCUACUUGCAUUGCUUGGUAGUGUAUUCGCAUAGUAUGAGACAUAAAUAACAUUUAAGUAAAAUAAAACAAACAGCAUUAUCCUGAAUUCAGAAGUGAAUAACAUUUUUGUUAUCACGUCAACAAAAUCUUUCAGAAUGUACCCGUUUUCAGUAUAGAACGUUGGCUAGCAAGCUACUGAUCUGUCUGAAUCAGUAGCCUUGUGUCGAACGGUCCCGUCCACUAGAUUAUACGUCACGCAAGAAACAACUUGAAAAAAUCAUCUGCUGACUAGUUUGGGAAAAUGUUAAUUGCAUUGUUUAUUCUUGCUAACAACUUCAUAAAAAGUAUCUUCAAAAUAACCAGAUCUGUGUUUACUGCCCAACAGCAGGCAUUUUGCCAUGCUGUCAUUGUAAAUAAGAAUUUGUUCUGAGGCUGCUGUUCAUGCUGGGAUAGUUGAUUGGCAAUUAAGUAUGGUAAACUAAGACGACUAUCAUUUUUAUAGUAGAUUUUGAUCACACAAUAAACAUUGUACAUACUCAUUAGUAA